rnacentral:rRNA from 1 species
UAUGGCCACACACCCCUGACUGGAACCAUCUCAUCUGAUCUCAGAAGCUAAGCAGGGUUGGGCCUGGUUAGUAUUUGUAUGGGAGACCAAAAAUAAGGAAAACACCUUUU